rnacentral:rRNA from 1 species
UACGUAGGGUGCGAGCGUUAAUCGGAAUUACUGGGCGUAAAGCGUGCGCAGGCGGUUUUGUAAGCCAGAUGUGAAAGCCCCGGGCUUAACCUGGGAAUGGCAUUUGGGACUGCAAGGCUUGAGUGCGGCAGAGGAGACUGGAAUUCCUGGUGUAGCAGUGAAAUGCGUAGAUAUCAGGAGGAAUACCGAUGGCGAAGGCAGGUCUCUGGGCUGACACUGACGCUCAUGCACGAAAGCGUGGGGGAGCAAACAGG